AUUGAACGCUGGCGGCAGGCCUAACACAUGCAAGUCGAACGAGUGGCGGACGGGUGAGUAAUGUCUGGGAAACUGCCUGAUGGAGGGGGAUCACUACUGGAAACGGUAGCUAAUACCGCAUACCAUCGGAUGUGCCCAGAUGGGAUUAGCUCGUAGGGGGGGUAAAGUCUCCCCUAGUCGACGCGCCCUCGCUGGUCUGAGAGGAUGACCAGCCACACGGGAACUGAGACACGGUCCAGACUCCUACGGCAGGCAGCAGUGGGGAAUAUUGCACAAUGGGCGCAAGCCUGAUGCAGCCAUGCCGCGUGUAUGAAGAAGGCCUUCGGGUUGUAAAGUACUUUCAGCGGGGAGGCGUUACCCGCAGAAGAAGCACCGGAGAACUAGGUGACAGCAGCCGCGGUAAUUC
rnacentral:rRNA from 1 species